AUUGAACGCUGGCGGCAGGCCUAACACAUGCAAGUCGAGCGAGCGGCGGACGGGUGAGUAAUGUCUGGGGAACUGCCCGAUAGAGGGGGAUAACUACUGGAAACGGUGGCUAAUACCACAUACUAUCGGAUGUACCCAUAUGGGAUUAGCUAGUAGGUGGGGUAACGGCUCACCUAGGCGACGAUCCCUAGCUGGUCUGAGAGGAUGACAAGACACACGGGAACUAAGACACGGACCAGACUCCUACGGGAGGCAGCAGUGGGGAAUAUUGCACAAUGGGAGCAAGCCUGAUGCAGCCAUGCCGCGUGUAUGAAGAAGGCCUUAGGGUUGUAAAGUACUUUCAGCGGGGAGGCGUUACCCGCAGAAGAAGCACCGGCUAACUCCGUGCCAGCCGCCGCGGUAAUAC
rnacentral:rRNA from 1 species